rnacentral:rRNA from 1 species
UACGGGGGGGGCAAGCGUUGUUCGGAAUUACUGGGCGUAAAGGGCUCGUAGGUGGCCAACUAAGUCAUACGUGAAAUCCCUCGGCUUAACCGGGGAACUGCGCCUGAUACUGGUUGGCUUGAGUUUGGGAGAGGGACGCGGAAUUCCUGGUGUAGCGGUGAAAUGCGCAGAUAUCAGGAGGAACACCGGUGGCGAAGGCGGGUCUCUGGGCCGAUACUGACGCUGAGGAGCGAAAGCGUGGGGAGCGAACAGG